UCCUUAGUCUCUCAACGGUAGAGCGGUCGGCUGUUAACUAAUUCAUCGUAGGUUCAAAUCCUACUUGAGGAG
rfam:Gossypium raimondii chromosome 2, whole genome shotgun sequence.